UCCUGUAAUAACCAUCCCCAAAUCUCUCUUUUCGCCACUCUCUCACAUUUGAAAAAGCAUAGAAACAAAAGCUACGGAGAGAGAGAGAGAGAGAGAGAGAGAGAGAGAGAGGAUACGGUAAUGGAGAAAAGCUGUCCUUCCACUGCUGCUGCUCCUGAUUCUACCACAACGAGCAGCAUCAACAGGCAUCCAGCAGAUCAUUUCCUCAAACAACUCAAUAAAAGCUCUCACAAGAUCUCCAAGCACCCACAUCAGUCCCACAACCACCACCAUCUUAGCCAUCCAAAACAGACGUCCCACACAUCUCAGUCGUCUCACCACAACAACAACCCUCAGCAGCACCAACAGCAAAACCAACAGCAACAACAACAGCAGCAGCAACAGCAGCAGCAGCAGCCUCCCGUUUACAACAUAAACAAGAACGAAUUCCGAGACGUAGUCCAAAGGCUAACAGGUUCUCCUGCCCACGAUCGCUUCUCUACGCCUCCCCCAAUCCAUCCCCCCAAGCCUCCUAGCUCUCGCCUCCAGCGGAUUCGGCCUCCCCCCCUCGCGCAAAUUAGCUCCAGGCCUCCACCGUGCGCCCCUCCCACUCUAUUUACCGACAACAAUCUCAACAGCAAUAGCAGCAGCAGCAGCAACAACAACAACAGUGGAAUCUUCAUUGGACGGCCGAGAUCGCCCUUCUCUCCUCUCCCGCCGUUCCCUACCAUCAGCGCCGCCGCCGAGUCCCCGAUCUCUGCCUACAUGAGAUACCUCCAGGGCUCGAUCUCGUCCAUCGAUCCCGGGCGGGCCCCAGGGUUCUCGCCGCGGUGGAACCCUAACAUCAACUCUUCUUUCCAGCAGGCACUGCACCCUUCGCCGACGGCGAAUCCUCCGCCUGCGCAGCUUCCGCCGCCGCAGUUUCUGCUCCCAACUUCGCCUAUGGCCUUCGGCCACAUCCCGCUGUCACCACGGUCACCAUACCCCUUGCUCUCGCCGAGCCUGCUGUUCUCGCCAUCGGCGCAGUUAGGGUUUCUGCCAGCGUCGCCGAGAUUGCCAGUCCCGAGCCCGAGGUGGAGAGAUCUGUGAGCCGUUAUGGUUGAAUUCUGUAGUUUUUUGCAAUGAAGGUUUCAAGAUUGAAGAAAAUUUUGUUUCUGUAUACCAAUUCGUUAAGGGCUUUGUAGACACCUUUGAGUUCUCCUCUGAAGGUUUGACCAUAGAGGCCAACAAAUAGGCAAAUAGCUAGGAGAAACAGCAUGAACUCUUUGAAAUCCAGGAAGGCGGAUUUCUUCUCCAAGUACCAAACUACUGGUGGCAAUUCAUACUAUGGGUCUCUGUCUUCGAAUAAUUAUAGUCUCUGAAAAAAAAAAACACAGGAUUCCACACAUGGGAUGGGACCAUGUUUUGGUGAUCCAGGCUGUCGAUCUGAUGGGACCUUUUGUGGAAGGGAGUUGCCUUGAAACUCGCCUAGGUGCCUAGGUUAGAUUAUCAUAUCCUUUGAUCAUUGGACUGUUCCUUGAAUGUGAACCGUUGCUGGAUUUUCACAUUAACUGUGUAUUGUUAGGCAAUUGAUUGAAAGCAUAGCAUUUUAAUCUGGAAGAUUCUUUAGGCAUUUACCUUCCUGGUGGGGCACAUCAGAUGAAUGGUUUAGAUCACUGAACCAACGCUAAACAUGCAAGGAAUCCUUUGUGUCAGCAUGCUGCAUGUUCACUGAUAACUGGGACCCCGCGUUGCAUUCAUCCAGGUCUUGAGAGAUUGAACAGAUUGAAUAAUACAUCACUUUCUUCAAAUGAAAAUUACCCUUUGUCAUGGUCAAACCUGGUAACACGAGUAUGUUUGAAUCGUGGUCAUCAGCUAUACAGUUAUGAAGAACAUUGUUUGGCUGCUGCUUGAGAUUGAUGAUGCAUGAACAUCUAUGGAAUUACUAGUAUAGUACUGCCUUAUUGACAUGAGCUACCACGUGAUUGCAAUGGAGAUAUGCGGUGGGCCAUGCUACUGCUGGCACCUGACAUUUAUGACUUCACUCAAUUUAAAAACACAUCAGGUAUCUUUAUCCUUUUAUUUGUUCCCAAACGCUUGGACAUGAGACUGUAUCCCUGUUUUGGGUUGCAAUCAACUCCACCUAUAGAACUGGAGACGAUAGUAAUCUACCAAGAAAUUACAUUUUUUAGAUAUUUGUUUCAUGGUUCAUGCCACCCACCGGUAAACUAAAAAGACAUGUAAAUGUAAUCGUUUUAUCUAUCUUGACUGCAGAUUAUUUGUUUCUUUCAAGGGGAUGUGGUUGCUCAUAAUAUCAUUGUUGCUUCCAUGAGUUGACAUACAGUUCUAGCACUGGCACUUACGUCCCACUCAAAGCAUUUGUUGGGAAAGAGCGGUGCAGUGGUUUGGGGGCAUUCAUUUGAUCAGGUUUGGUGGAAAGAGAGAUGUUCUCCAUAUACAUCGCAAUGUUGUAAAUCCGUCUUGAUUUGGGAAUUCUUAAAUUAUACUUUAGUGAUAGAAAAACCGUGAAGAUUCAAAAUCCAAACUAUCCAGUUACCAAUACAAACACCAUUAGAUCAGAAUGUCUGCCUGAUUCAUUUGUCAUUGUGUUCAUCUUUUCUGUUAAAAAUGUGUCCGACACUUUACCAUUAUACAUUUAUUUGCUUUGAUGUGGCUACUUUAUUAUAUGUAAUUCAUGUUCAAGUAAUUCGCAGAUUGGUAGUAUC